rnacentral:misc_RNA from 1 species
GAUGAAGAACGUAGCGAAAUGCGAUAAGUAAUGUGAAUUGCAGAAUUCAGUGAAUCAUCGAAUCUUUGAACGCACAUUGCGCCCGCCAGUAUUCUGGCGGGCAUGCCUGUCUGAGCGUCAUUUCAACCCUCAUGCCCCUAGGGCGUGGUGUUGGGGACCGGCCAAAGCCCGCGAGGGACGGCCGGCCCCUAAAUCUAGUGGCGGACCCGUCGUGGCCUCCUCUGCGAAGUAGUGAUAUUCCGCAUCGGAGAGCGAUGAGCCCCUGCCGUUAAACCCCCAACUUUCCAAGGUUGACCUCAGAUCAGGUAGGAAUACCCGCUGAACUUAAGCAUAUCAAUAAGCGGAGGA